ACUCAAAUGAAUUGACGGGGGCCCGCACAAGCGGUGGAGCAUGUGGUUUAAUUCGAUGCAACGCGAAGAACCUUACCUACCCUUGACAUCCUGCGAAGUAUAUAGAGAUAUGUGCGUGCCGAAAGGAACGCAGAGACAGGUGCUGCAUGGCUGUCGUCAGCUCGUGUUGUGAGAUGUUGGGUUAAGUCCCGUAACGAGCGCAACCCUUGUCCUUAGUUGCCAACAUGUAAUGGUGGGGACUCUAAGGAGACUGCUGGUGAAGAACCGGAGGAAGGCGGGGACGACGUCAAGUCAUCAUGGCCUUUAUGGGUAGGGCCACACACGUGCUACAAUGGGACGUACAGAGGGGAGCCAACCUGCGAAGGGGAGCCAAUCUCAGAAAACGUCUCGUAGUCCGGAUUGGAGUCUGCAACUCGACUCCAUGAAGUUGGAAUCGCUAGUAAUCGCGAAUCAGAACGUCGCGGUGAAUACGUUCCCGGGCCUUGUACACACCGCCCGU
rnacentral:rRNA from 1 species